rnacentral:lncRNA from 1 species
UCUCCACCCAAAUCUCAUGUUGAAUUGUAAUCCCAGUGUUGGAGGAGGGACCUGGUGGGAGAUGAUUGGAUCAUAGGAGUGGAUUUCCCCGUUCUCUUCUCAUGAUAGUGAGUGAGUUCUCAGGAGAUCUGGUUGUUUAAACGUGUGUAGCACUUCCCCCUUAGCUCUCAGUGUCCUGCUCUGACAUGUGAAGACCUACCUGCUUCCCCUUUGCCUUCUGCCAUGACUGUAAGUUUCCUGAGCCCUCCCAGCCAUGCUUCCUGUACCGCCGUGGGAAAUGAUUUUAAGGAAACUCUUCCUAGAAAAUCUGCCCAGUAGCUGCUGGUGGCCAUUCCACCCAAAGCAAUCCCUGGGCUUCUGAAUCCACACCAACAGGAACAAGUUGUUAAUUCUGUGCACUUCCUAGAAGGGCAGCCUCUUCACAGCCUGAGACAGCAGUUUCCCUACUCAACCCAGUAAAGUCUUGAUAAUUUUCCAAACUGGAAGAUGCACUUCUACUGUGAUGAAUCUUUUCUCAAAUAUUUUGGCCAAUCUGAUGCCUCUCCCCCAAGAAGUGUCUGAGUUUACAGGCAUGCUGUAAAUACCUGACUGAUCUUACAGUGAGGAGAAUAUAGGAUGGAAUGGAUAUAAGAGCAAUCCCAUUAAAGACUACCUGUGGCUAUUAGUCACCUUCCAAACAAAAGAUGCUGAGUUCUCUAAAUUGCUUUAUGUGAGAUGUAACACAAAACCACAUGUUCACCACUACAGGAAUAGUGUGGAAAACCAGGUGGUAAUAAGGGUCUGCCAACCAAGACAAGGAACUCCAGAAAACUAUUAUUGAUGAUCACAGCAAAACCUCUGCAGAAAUUUCACAUCUGCUGAAGCCCAUGGCAUUUGCCUAGUACUGCCAAAGGAAAAAAUAAUGUCUUCUGGUCUCCAUUCCACCUUCAAAAUCAUGCUCCAGUGCACCUUGUUGUUAGAACAUAAAUUGUAUUCUAUUCCACAGAGUCAAGAGAAUCUAGAGAAUUUGAUUUCUAAAUUCCCAGCUCCUUCAAAACAGAAGAAACCUUAGAAGGGUUUUGCUGCUUGCAAAAUGAAAUUAAACCUGCACACUUAUUUCUGUUCUCUUAAUAAAGACUUUGAAGAGAUUAAUUCAUGAUACCUGCAAUGUUUCUCAGAUUUCCUUGGACAAUCUCAAAUCAUUCAUACCUGUGCCUCUCCCUCACUUUUCAGUUGCCCUGCUCCCAAACACCUUCACUCUCAUCCACUUUUUUUUCUCUUUGUCCUACUCCCUUCCCUUCAUUCCUUUAUGCUACUCAACUUAAAAAUGAAAAGCAAACAAAUGAACAACAACAACAACAAAAACAUUGAACAAGCUUUGGAUUUCCCACUGGAUGUAAGCUUCAGGCUUUUAAGAAAUUGUAUGAAAAUUUCCUAAGCCCACUCAAUGUGUUUGUCUUGUCUUUUAAGUUCUUAGGUGUUUAUGAGAUCCUGGUCACUAUGUAUAUCUAAUCAAAACUGACUUUUUUUAAUAUAGGACCUAGUUCCUUUCUUUUGUUUACUCAUAACAGCACUCUUGAAAGUCACUAUCAGCGCAAAACGUUUGGCCUGACUGGGUGAGGGAUACGUAACAACAUCAUAUGGCAAAGAUAAGAUUAGAUAUUCAACACUUCUUUUUAUUUGGCCACCCAUACCACUGAGAACUUCUUUCUCUUGUCCUUCUCUUCCCCUGUUUUCACCUUCCUUUCUUCCCAACUCCUAAUCACUCUUCGUUUCUUAUGCAGAACGUAAGUUUCAUAUCUCCUUUUAGUUUCAUGAUCUCCUUUUACACUACAGUAGGUGCAGGGAGAUAAGGAGCAUCUCACUUUCCCUUCCCAAGGAGACCUAUGAAGAAGUAUUUUAUUAAAUGAAAAAUCAUCUACUCUGAACAGCAGUUAUGUCAUUUUCAUAGGGACAGAAGUAGUGGCCAAUAUUGUUAUUCUAAAUGGAGCAAUUUAUUUUGUACUAUGCUAUUCAAAGAAAGACCAGUGCUUUCAUUCUCAGUUCUUAACCUCAUAAAAAGGUGAACUGUAUAAUUAGUACAGAAGCAAGCUGAAAACCAGAAUGCACAGAGAAACAGACUAUUGUUAUUACUAGUUUGAUAAUCUGGCAUAGAACCCAGAGUAACACAGGCUUCCUUAGUGAAGGCUUCAGUGAUGUUUGAAUGAGUAGAGGAAUUGCAAUCCUCCCUUCCUGAGCCAUGUUUGAAUUAUUUCUAUGGAGAAAUGGUGGGUGAAGUGGAUAAGGGUGCAGAGCCUGGACUCAGCCUGCCUGAAUUUGAAUCUUUUCACUGGUACUUAAUUGUCAUGCAAUCUAGAAAAUCUGGAUGUAGGACAACUUCGCUAACAUUUCUAAGACUCUGUUUCAUGGAAAAGAAAUGAAACACAGACAAAAAUAUUCCCUCCCUCAUAGCUGUUGAAAGGAUUAAAUAAGGAGAUAUGUGUAAAGCAUUCAACAACACACACAGAUAUGUGCAUUAAUGCACACAUGCUUUUAUAAAACGCAAGUUACCAAAACAAAAAAACUCAUUGUCAUUCCAGGCUCCUUUCUCCGCUCAGCCUCCAUAUCCAGUUGUUCACAGCAUUUAGCCAAUUAUACCUUUUAAAUACCUUCCAAAUCUUUUUCCUCCCUACUUUAGUUUAAACCCUCAAAAACAUCUCCUGCCUAUACUGUGGCAAUCAUAUCUUAACUCAUUUUUAUUAUUAUGGUUGUGUCAUACCUCCACCCACCCCACAUUCCCAUUGAUUACUUACACCACAGCCAGUGUUCUUCCUGUACAGAAAAUGUGAUGUCUAACUCUAAUUUAAAUGCCUUCACUGUUUCUGAAAUACCUACAGAGUAAACUUUAAUCUAUAUAUUUUAGUAAAUAUGAACCUUAUCAUCCAAAUUUGCCAACAUCUACAACAGUGAGCAUCAAACUGCAGAGUGUAUCACACUUUCCAGGGAUAUUGCAAAAAAAUGCAAAUUUUAGAUCCUUACUCCAUGAACAGCCUCAUACGCUAAGUCUCAAUUAAGACCAUCAGUCUGAAUUUUAUCACUUAAUCCAGGAAAGUCUGAAGCAAGAUUCCUGUGGUCAUCCCAUAAGACCUGUGGCUUCACCCUGUAGCCACAUAGUCACCCAUUUCUUCACUACACCCACUCUCUGUCUGCCCUAUACAACCAGUGGGUCUUCAAAUACAAUAUAGUUUAAAUGUCUUCAUGCCUUUACUACUAUUUCUACUUCUUGGAAAGUCCCCCCACCCAUUCUGUCUAGCUAAUUCUCAUUCAUCUUUCAGCAUUUCAUUCAAGGUCACUUCUAUGCGAGGAUAUCCCUAGUCCACUCAUGGGGCUGUCUAUCUUCUCCUGCAUUUCAGUAAGCUCUUGUACUAACCUCUACUUGUGCUUGUUGCAUUGGGUUACAAGCGAAUUUUAAAUGUUAUUCCUCCCUACAAGACUAUGAAAUUAUGGCAUGCAGGGAAAACUUCCUACUUAUUUCUGUGUUGCCAUUAUUCAGUACCUGGCACAUGCUAGGUGCCCCACAAAUAAAUAUUUGUUAACUGAAUGAAUAAACUAAUAAAUAUUAGAAAGUCACUUACUUGGGAUUAUUUAAAAAUUGAGGUCACCUCCACAUGACAAGAUAUUUCUUCCACAAGCUUUCUGCUCUUAUUCAAACAACCAUCAUUGGAUACCAUCUCAAAUCUUUACAAGACUAAGAGCUAAAUGUUAUUAACUUUAUACUUAAAACAUCUGACAAAAUUGAAGGCUGUUUUCUAUUUAUUUGAUUAGUUGGUUUAACUGAAUAAGAAAUUACAAGACCCUGAUGAGAUAGAACGUGGAAAGGUGUUUUACUUUUCCUUUAUUCCCUUUUAAAUACGAUGGCUGGAAUAACCCAGGUGUCACCUGAAAUGUUGAUGACUUUGCCUGAAAGUGGAAUUCUCUAACCAUCUGCAGCUGGUGCAAUUCAGUUGACUGUGGGAGUGGAUGAUCUAUAGGUUUACUUGACACUUGUAACCAAGCUCUGUCGGCACAAUAGAGUGACCAUUUAAACAACGGCUAGCAUUCUUUCCAACUUUUUACAUUUUCACUGAAAGGAGAUAUUAAAGACUAAGAGUGUUGAACUUUACCUGAGUUUUGUGCUCCUAGAAAACAGCAAUGAUUAAGAAAUCCUUGUAUCCUUUUGUAUUUUAGGAAAUUGCUUAUUACAAAGAACCAUCCUUUCUCAUGUGAUUUAUGUAAGACUCCCAGAUGACCUCCUUGUUUUUCUAUGACAAAGCCAGAUGCAGAUCCUCCAAAUGUUCAUUAUUUGUCUUCUAAAUGAUUAGCUAAAGUUUUUACCCCCACUCACCAAUCUGGAAAAAAUGCCUGCUAAUUUGACUUGCCAUAACUGUCUACAGGCUUCUCUGCUUUCUUAGGCUUCUGAAUUGGGCCCGCCCUGGAGCUUAAUAAGCAAGCACUGAGAGCUUAUUUAUGCAUUAGAACAUGGAAAAACUCCAUUUAAAACCCCUUCUCAAGAUUCAGCUGGUUGUCAGAAUGACACAUCUGCUCAGCUAUCCACUCAUGCCCACCUGCUUAUCCAGCUUCCCAUACUCAUGCACCAAGGCAUCAGGGUAGAUAAAGAGGCCCCCAAGUCUCAUACAGGGCUACUCCUUCAACCUGGGUUCCAGAAGGAAGAAGACAUGGAGCAAAACUGUAUGGACAAUGUAAUGUGAACAAGAAAUAAAGCAUCAUUUUUGUAAGACAUCAUAACCUAGCAAAAUUUGAUAGAUGUACUAGGUCACUAAUAGUGUCUAUCACCAUAGUCACUGUUUAUAUAGAUAAUGUGAUAAUUACUUAUUUUAUGAAUAAUAAUCCUAUUAUAAUAUCUUAAUAUAGUAGGCUCUUGGUGAAUAAGAAAUGCAAUUGACUUUUUAAAAAAACUUAUCCUCACCCAUUCACUUCUUUCUUCCCAUGAGAACCUCAUUUGACUUUCAUAUAGUAGCCUUUUCUAUGCAGGAAAAGCCUCAUGAUUCAGGACAAAUGUCUCCAUUUCUUAGCUCUGAGAUAGCCCUCAUUAUUCUAAGAGUCCUAUUCCUCCUUGUCAGAAAUUGGUCAAAGAACAUGCAAAUGUGUUAGUCAGUUCAGGCUGCUAUUGAAUAUAAAAUGUAUAGCAGACUGAGUAGCUUAUAAACAACAGAAAUUUAUUUCCCACAGUUCAGGAGUCUAGAUGUCCAAGAUCAGGG